rnacentral:rRNA from 1 species
GGCUAACUCUGUGCCAGCAGCCGCGGUAAUACAGAGGGUGCAAGCGUUAAUCGGAAUUACUGGGCGUAAAGGGAGCGUAGGUGGCUCUAUAAGUCAGAUGUGAAAUCCCCGGGCUUAACCUGGGAACUGCAUCUGAAACUGUAGAGCUAGAGUAUGUGAGAGGAAGGUAGAAUUCCAGGUGUAGCGGUGAAAUGCGUAGAGAUCUGGAGGAAUACCGAUGGCGAAGGCAGCCUUCUGGCAUAAUACUGACACUGAGGCUCGAAAGCGUGGGUAGCAAACAGGAUUAGAUACCCUGGUAGUCCACGCCGUAAACGAUGUCUACUAGUCGUUGGGUCCCUUGAGGACUUAGUGACGCAGCUAACGCAAUAAGUAGACCGCCUGGGGAGUACGGCCGCAAGGUUAAAACUCAAAUGAAUUGACGGGGGCCCGCACAAGCGGUGGAGCAUGUGGUUUAAUUCGAUGCAACGCGAAGAACCUUACCUGGUCUUGACAUAUCUAGAAUCCUGCAGAGAUGCGGGAGUGCCUUCGGGAAUUAGAAUACAGGUGCUGCAUGGCUGUCGUCAGCUCGUGUCGUGAGAUGUUGGGUUAAGUCCCGCAACGAGCGCAACCCUUGUCCUUAGUUACCAGCGGGUUAAGCCGGGAACUCUAAGGAUACUGCCAGUGACAAACUGGAGGAAGGCGGGGACGACGUCAAGUCAUCAUGGCCCUUACGACCAGGGCUACACACGUGCUACAAUGGUAGGUACAGAGGGCAGCUACACAGUGAUGUGAUGCGAAUCUCAAAAA